AUUGAACGCUAGCGGGAUGCCUUACACAUGCAAGUCGAACGGAGUGGCGAACGGGUGAGUAAUGUAAAGGAACGUGCCCAGGAGCGGGGGAUAACUACGAGAAAGCGGAGCUAAUACCGCAUACUAUUGGAGUGGCCGAUAUCGGAUUGGCUAGUGGGUGGGGUAAGGGCUCACAAAGGCGACGAUCCGUAGCUGGUUUGAGAGGACGACCAGCCACACUGGGACUGAGACACGGCCCAGACUCCUACGGGAGGCAGCAGUGGGGAAUUUUGGACAAUGGGGGAAAGCCUGAUCCAGCCAUGCCGCGUGUGCGAUGAAGGCCUUCGGGUUGUAAAGCACUUUUAGCAGGGAGGCGGUACCUGCAGAAUAAGCACCGGCUAACUACGUGCCAGCAGCCGCGGUAAUAC
rnacentral:rRNA from 1 species